rnacentral:rRNA from 1 species
ACAUAUCUAGAAUCCUGCAGAGAUCGGGAGUGCCUUCGGGAAUUAGAAUACAGGUGCUGCAUGGCUGUCGUCAGCUCGUGUCGUGAGAUGUUGGGUUAAGUCCCGCAACGAGCGCAACCCUUGUCCUUAGUUACCAGCGGGUUAAGCCGGGAACUCUAAGGAUACUGCCAGUGACAAACUGGAGGAAGCGGGGACGACGUCAAGUCAUCAUGGCCCUUACGACCAGGGCUACACACGUGCUACAAUGGUAGGUACAGAGGGCAGCUACACAGCGAUGUGAUGCGAAUCUCAAAAAGCCUAUCGUAGUCCAGAUUGGAGUCUGCAACUCGACUCCAUGCCCGUAGGAAUCGCUAGUAAUCGCGGAUCAGAAUGCCGCGGUGAAUACGUUCCCGGGCCUUGUACACACCGCCCGUCACACCAUGGGAGUUGAUUGCACCAGAAGUGGAUAGCCUAACCUUUUAGGAAGGCGUUCACCACGGUGUGGUUGAUCCUGGGGUGAAGUCGUAACAAGGUAGCCGUAGGGGAACCUGUGGCUGGAUCACCU